UACCUCAUCAAUUGGAGGGGUUUCCUUCCGGUUGAUGAGGUACAUGUACCUCGUUGACCGGAAGGAAACCCUUCCGAUCAGCAAGGUA
rnacentral:miRNA from 1 species